AUGAAGUUCCAUUAUUUUCAACACCGCUCCCAAAUUUGCCCCUCAUUUAACAAGGUUCAAUGAAUUCUUCAGUUUCUUAAUCAUGGAGCAAUGUCAUAAUGAAAUUGAAGUCGGUUGGGUUGCAUCACCUCUUCCGAAUUCCCCUUCUACAACCACAAAAGGUUCUUUAAAGUCACUGUUCACCCUUUCACUAACCCUAGAUCCUUUUCGUUUCAAAUCAAAGACAGGGUAAGGUUUUUGGUGCAGGCUUGGGGAUAGCGUCGCCACUACAUAAGCAUCCGCCUCCAACUUCAAAUAGGAAAUCGACUAUCAUUAGGUCAGGUUAACAACAAAUGCUAUCACAGAUUCAAUUUCUUUAUUCUGCAGUUGCUUGGAUACGAACAGGUGAAACAGUAAGUGGUUAUGAUUGAUUUUGUGUUUCUCUAGGGUUUUUAGUUUUCGUCAUAUAUAGUCUUUUUGUUUUGAGUUCGAUUAGGUUUGAUCUUUCAUCACCAUCCCAGUCGUAAAUCUAUCUUUUCUUGAUUUAAUUUGAACUUCAGUGGAUCUGCAUAAACCAGAUGAGAUUGAAGUUGAAGAGGACUAGAGGGAAGAGCCUGGUGGCAAAGAAGUGGGUCCUUCAGAUUGUGAUGAUGGCGAAGAAGUUGGAUCUGUAAAUGUGGGAAACUCUGCUUAGCUGGCCAAAAAAGAAGACAUUAAUGGAUUACUUGUGGGUGGUGCUUCAUUAAAGGCUGAAAGUCGCUCUGACUUCGACGAAGUCUAUUAACGAUUGGAGCUCGCUAGAAAUUCAGUUUCCUGUUCUUAGAGAUCGAUGUGUGCGUAUUCCGGUUUAUUCAUGAGGUUUGCGUGGAUGGUGCAGCCUCGUAACUAUCUACUUCUAGCAUGUCAUGCCUCAAAUGAAACAGUUCAGUUGUAUCAGCUUUCACGUUUUGCAAAGCAUCAAGGACUUGAUUGUUCGUAGAAUUGAUAUCUUCAAAAGGGUUCUUGUUGCACUGGUUUCAAAGGGAUAUAAACAGUUUGCACUUGCUCCAGUACUAACGCUUUAUGCCCAAAAACGUCUUCGAGGUCUGAUCAGUUAAUUUUUCGAGUACUCGACGCCAGUACAGUGACACACAACCACUCACCCGGUCUUCGCUGCUGAUCGCUGGUAUCAUAGACAUCCAGAGCCACAAACCAGCCCAGAAGUUGUGGCAGCCGUACAUUUGGGUGUGGAUUAUUGUGAACCAUUUAAUUAUCAGAUGUCAAUCACCCGGCUGCAAUGAACUCCGAGUCUCCAUCUAUUGCAGCAGUUGUUGGCUCGGUGGACCGUGGUGCGACUCGUUAUGUCGCUUGUGUGUGGCCACAAGGGCAUCGUAAAUAGGAGAUUGUUAAUUUCGGGAGCGUGUGUUUGGACCUGAUCAACACUUACGCUAAAGUCAACAAAGUGAAACCGAACAAGAUUGUGGUGUACCGUGACGGUGUUAGUGACGAUCAGUUUGAGAUGGUUCUGAAUAAAGAAAUGGUUGAUAUGAAGAAAGCCAUUUACACCAAACACUACCGUCCGUUUGUUACAUUCGUUGUGGCUCAGAAACAUCACACGACUCGCUUGUUUCUGAACAACAAGAAUGAGAUCGGGAACGUGCCUCCGGGAACAGUCGUGGACACGAACAUUUAACUAGAGGAGAAAAGAUCUCAUUGUAGUCUAUGCCUGACUUUUGAGUGAAUCCCUUGGCAACCAACAUGUCUAAGGCUGUCCUUUUUUUAAACAAAAACCCAAAACCCGACUCGAAUUCAAAGCCACCCAAACCUCACCAACCCGAACCUUAUAUGAGUAGGUUAUUACCAAAAAGGGGUCCAUUCGACAUAUAUUUUUCGAACUUUGCUCCAUAUGAACUUUUACAUCAUGUUUUAAGUAGUGCAUUUGUUUAAUUGACAAAUCUAUUGUUUUUUAUAACUUACUGGUUGUAAGUUGGUGAUUUGUUCAUGUCUCGCGUUAUUGACUCCGCCGCAACGCGCAUGU